AUGUCUCAUGCCUCGCUCGGUCUGCCGUUCCCCCCUCGGCUAAUCUUGAGCUGGAUGCAGCCGGUCACUUUUAGUGCUGGCUUGUACGAGACAAGAAGAAGCGUGAAAACGCGUCGACGCUUUUUGAGUACGAUUUGAUCCGCAAUGCACCACGGGUCUCCGUCGUAAUUUAUCAGUCGGGACAACC
rnacentral:snoRNA from 1 species